CGUGUAGGCGGUAUUGUAAGUCAGAUGUAAAGGCUACGGCUUAACCGUAGAUUGUCAUUUGAAACUACAGUACUUGAGUGCGAGAGAGGGUAGUGGAAUUCCCAGUGUAGCGGUGAAAUGCGUAGAUAUUGGGAAGAACACCAGUAGCGAAGGCGGCUACCUGGCUCGUAACUGACGCUAAUGCGCGAAAGCGUGGGGAGCGAACA
rnacentral:rRNA from 1 species